GGAAGUAAAAGUCGUAACAAGGUCUCCGUUGGUGAACCAGCGGAGGGAUCAUUACAGAGUUACUACUCCAAACCCAUUGUGAACCUUACCUAUGUUCUGUUGCCUCGGCGGGGCGGUCGGCGCCCCCUCUCCGCGAGGAGGGGAGACGAUGGACCCCCCGCCGGCAGCACCAAACUCUUGAAUUUUAUAGCGGAUUACAAGCUCUGAUUGGAAAACAAAAAAACAAAUCAAAACUUUCAACAACGGAUCUCUUGGUUCUGGCAUCGAUGAAGAACGCAGCGAAAUGCGAUAAGUAAUGUGAAUUGCAGAAUUCAGUGAAUCAUCGAAUCUUUGAACGCACAUUGCGCCCGGCAGUAAUCUGCCGGGCAUGCCUGUCCGAGCGUCAUUUCAACCCUCGAACCUCUGUUUCCCAGCGAAGCUCAGGGUCGGCGUUGGGGCGCUACGGCGAGUCUUCGCGACCCCGUAGGCCCUGAAAUACAGUGGCGGUCCCGCCGCGGUUGCCUUCUGCGUAGUAAAAGUCUUCUUUUGCAAGCUUCGCAUUGGGUCCCGGCGGAGGCCUGCCGUCAAACCACAUUAUAACUUAAGAUGGUUUGACCUCGGAUCAGGUAGGGUUACCCGCUGAACUUAAGCAUAUCAAUAAGCGGAGGAA
rnacentral:misc_RNA from 1 species